UGGAGCUGAGAAAUUAGCAGCGAUUAAGAAGAGACCAGCAUGGCUGAGAUGAAAUCUUCUGAAAGGUGUUUCCUGAGAUUCAACACACAGAAGCUGCAUUCCAAAUAAGGCCAAGCAAGUUUAGAAUUCUCAGAGCCAAGAGAAGAACCCAGUUUGGAAGGACAGAAGGAAGAGGGUGGUGACCUCUUAAGCUCCAGCUCUCGCUUAUGACUGAGGGAAGGGAGAACAGACUGACCUCCACGACAAAGGCAGGUGUAAAGAACCUUACUUUAGUGAGGUACCAUUAUGCUGAGCAACAUCCUUCAUGGGCAAGCAGAAACGAGAAUGCCCCAGCACCUGGAUUCCCUGAGGUUACCAUAGCUCAGGAAUCCAGGGGUUUCUCUUCUUCAAGCCUCAGCCUGACAAGUCAAGAAGUUCCAAGAACUUUCUGGAAGUGGAGCCAGAGGCAUUGAGAUACAACCUGGGCUUGGAAAACACAAAGGAUUUAGGAUGGAGAAGAAGAAACUCUACAAGGGACAGCUGGAGAACAGACCUGGAGAGGAGUCCAGGACCAGAGUAAACUAUGUUUCAUGUUGAUGCCCUUUCCUACGGCCACACACCUGCCUCAUUGUCCUGCUAGUCUUGGCUUCAGCUCCCAUCCACUCCCUGUACUGAACUGCACCAGCGCUUCCCCUCAGCCCCAAUGGAAAAUAAGAGUGACUGUCUGCUACAGAGACUGCUCAUCUGCAUAACACACUGGUAUAUCUAGUUUUAGCUUAGAAACAAAACUACUUAGCCACCAGGCUAUAAACACAAUUGGUAUGCAUCUUCGCAAGAAAGUCCUUCAUUGGAAGUUGCUUAUCCUACUCCUCCUGUCUGCUGACUGGGAUGCUGAUCAUAAGAUCAAAGCUGCCACUCAAGAUAGCAAGAGCCCUAGGAGUUAGGAAGUGGGAGUCGCUGACAACGUGGAAU